UACGGGGGGGGCAAGCGUUGUUCGGAAUUACUGGGCGUAAAGGGCUCGUAGGCGGCCAACUAAGUCGGAUGUGAAAUCCCCGGGCUUAACCUGGGAACUGCAUUUGUGACUGCAUGGCUGGAGUGCGGCAGAGGGGGAUGGAAUUCCGCGUGUAGCAGUGAAAUGCGUAGAUAUGCGGAGGAACACCGAUGGCGAAGGCAAUCCCCUGGGCCUGCACUGACGCCCAUGCACGAAAGCGUGGGGAGCAAACAGG
rnacentral:rRNA from 1 species